rnacentral:snoRNA from 1 species
UCCCUCUCAGGAUCACAGCUGGGGAGUUUCCAGUACACUACCAGUCAAGGCUACAGGAGGGAGAGUCAAGCAGAGGCCUACUCAUUCCAUUCCUAGCUUGGCCAGUGGCUAGUGACUGGAAGGCCAUCUGCUACAAGU